CGACAGACAUUUCGCAAACUUCAGUGUUAUCGUUAUCAUUUUUUGUCCUCUAAGACAGCUUUUGUCAGGUUGGCAUCAUGAUUAAAUGCGACAAUCGUUUUUUUGGCCCAGCGAAAAUGGUCCAUCCUUGAAGAUGAGGAAUUCGAAUUGGCUUAGAAAACAGUGCAGGAAUUCACAGCAACAUUGGCAUUUGUAGUACUCAUUGGAAGAGACCAUGGUAGUGAUCGUGGACGGAUCUGAUGGAUUAUCAGCAGCCAUUUCUUCGAAACAUUUUAAUGGGGUGUACAAAAGAUCUGCUAGAAAUCAAGCUAGCAGUGGAAUGUGGCACACCUAUUUCAGGGAAUCAAAAGGUUGGACAAAAGUUCAACCAUCGCUCAUAUGGUCCUACAGAUGAAACUGAAAGCUCCCACUGCCCAUGAGAAUACGCAAGAGAAUGGCAACUUCUUGAUGUUCUAUGCCCAGCACGUAUAUUCAGCAACCUGGGUGAUAAUUUUCUGCAGUCCAAGAAGUGUGUCUUGAACGGAACAGGUGAGGCUUCCCAAGAUGGUGAUGGAUUGGCAACUGGAGAAUGUUCGAGGCAUACGAUGGAGGGGACGAUGCCUUACUUGCUGGAUGGACGCUAUAGCCUGUGAUGCAGAGAGCACGGAAGUUCAAGAGCAAGAGAGGUGUUGACACAGACAGCUCAGAACUGUUAUGCCUGGAGGGCUGUGGUGGUACAGUUGACAUAGAAAUGUAAAGUCGCAGGAGUGAGUGGUCCAAGACUGGAAAGUGUUCAAAAACAGCACCUGAGCAGGGUAAAAUUGGAGACUUUCGUCAGGAUCGUGGCAACAAGAUGCAACGUGGCCAACUGUUGGCAGCUCAAAACUGGAGCCAAGCAGGUCUGAUCAGGACAAAAGUUCAACCAUCGCUCAUAUGGUCCUACAGAUGAAACUGAAAGCUCCCACUGCCCAUGAGAAUACGCAAGGGAAUGGCAACUUCUUGAUGUUCUAUGCCCAGCACGUAUAUUCAGCAACCUGGGUGAUAAGU